AGCGAACGCUGGCGGCAGGCUUAACACAUGCAAGUCGAGCGGACGUAGCAAUACGUUAGCGGCAGACGGGUGAGUAACACGUGGGAACGUGCCCUUUGGUUCGGGAUAACCCAGGGAAACCUGGGCUAAUACCGGAUAAGCCCUUACGGGGAAAGAUUUAUCGCCAAAGGAUCGGCCCGCGUCUGAUUAGCUAGUUGGUGGGGUAACGGCCCACCAAGGCUACGAUCAGUAGCUGGUCUGAGAGGAUGAUCAGCCACACUGGGACUGAGACACGGCCCAGACUCCUACGGGAGGCAGCAGUGGGGAAUAUUGGACAAUGGGGGAAACCCUGAUCCAGCCAUGCCGCGUGAGUGAUGAAGGCC
rnacentral:rRNA from 1 species